GCGGGCGUAGCCCAACGGCAGAGGCACGGCUCUCAAACAGCCGCAAGUGUGGGUUCGAAUCCCACCGCCCGCA
rnacentral:tRNA from 1 species